rnacentral:miRNA from 1 species
UUCUCCGUCGCCGCCGUCCGC